CGCGCGUGUGUGUGUGGGGCAUUUGCUUUAAAGGAAGAUGGGGGGGUGACUAACAAGCAGCGAGGGAUCUUUUGUGUUGGUGACUGCACCCAUUUUCCGCAUGCUUUUCAUCUCAGGAUUUGCUUGUCUUCAACCUAGCCACACCCUGCAGCUCACCUGUGCCAGACUACAGAUCAGACAAAAGGUUAAGGAUUUAAAGCUGUUAAAGGAUUUGCAUUCCUCUGACAUGAAGGAUUUGCAGCACUUUUUUUUUUGACUAAAACCUUUGGUUCAGGUGACGGUUUUUCAGGUCAAGUUCAGAUUCUUAUGAAUGGAUUUGUUAUUAAUUGAUUUCUAUGUCUGUAAGACACUCCCCAAGGCUAUGGAUUAUUCAGUUUUACAUGCGACUUAAGUCAGUCUGUUGUAUGUGAAUUGAGGAAAUCUUUUUGGAGAUUAUGCUAUUUCUGUACUAGACCUCUUUAUAAUAUAACUGUUUUAUGUUAGUGCAUGUGUGGAUAUCUGUGAUAUCUGAUCGCUGCACCCCAAUUAUUACCCUAAUUGCUAAAUUAUUAA